rnacentral:misc_RNA from 1 species
GAUGAAGAACGCAGCGAAAUGCGAUAAGUAAUGUGAAUUGCAGAAUUCAGUGAAUCAUCGAAUCUUUGAACGCACCUUGCGCCCUUUGGCCAUUCCGAAGGGCAUGCCUGUUUGAGUAUCAUGAACACCUCAACUCUUCAUGGUUUGCCAUGAUGAGCUUGGACUCUGGGGGUCUUGCUGGCCUAUGGUCAGCUCCUCUCAAAUAAAUCAGCUUGCCAGUGUUUGGUGGCAUCACAGGUGUGAUAACUAUCUACGCUUGUGGUUUUCCAUCAGGUAACCUUCAGUGAUGGAGGUUCGCUGGAGCUCAUAAAUGUCCCUCCUCAGCGAGGACAGCUUUUUGAACGUUUGAUCUCAAAUCAGGUAGGACUACCCGCUGAACUUAAGCAUAUCAAUAAGCGGAGGA